rnacentral:lncRNA from 1 species
UUUGUUUUCACCUCUAUACACCACCGUUACACGCCUGCAUGCAAAUACACCGAUACUACGAUCCUUCAGAAGACAAGAACAAACUAUCACAGAAUCAACCUCAACAUACAAAAAACUGAACGCGCACCUGAUGAUAACUCAGUCUCAGCUUCCGCUAAAAUGAAUCAUACUAACUUGAGGAGGUCAUCCUUGGUGGCUUUCCUCCAAAUUUCCAACGAAUCUUCCAGACAUUGUUGACACACAAGAGCUGUAAAGAAAAGUAAAUCAGUGGUACACGAUGUCACACACAACGACAAACUGAGUUCUUUUUUUUCCUUCUCUGAUGAAGUCUUCAUCAGUCUUCCCAGGAUAUUGCCAAGCUCGGAUCCUUC